rnacentral:lncRNA from 1 species
GGCGGGGAGUAAAACUAACCAUAAAGGCAAGCAGGAAAACUCAUAUAGCUAGAGAUGCAUAUGGAGUAGCCAGCAUCUAAAAGCAGUUAUGAGUAAAUUUCACACAUACAUGAUUUGAUCACGUGCUACAUCAUUUAUAAUUCUAUUGGAGUUAUGUGUUUUGGAAACUCAGAUUCUCAAGCGUAAAUGAAAAGAAAUCUGGUAUAAAUUCACUUUCAGGAAGUAUAUGCAAUUGUGUUUAACAUAAAAUUUAUGGAGAAUAUUGCUAAUAUUAAUAUUUAUUUAUUUUUUGCUUAUUAGCAGUUCUCUUUGGUAUCAUAUUUGCUUAAACAAAGUUUGCAGUGUGUUUAUAAUUAACCUCUUGUCCAUUCUAUGUUCUAUUCUGGUGACCAAUACGAAAGGAGGAGUUAUUCUCAUAACUAUCUGAAGAGUUGCACCUUCACCUUGAUUUCAGUGAUGGAAAUGAAGAGGGCAAUCAUAGAGGAAUACAAGAGGAGAUGUCUGUGGAAGCUGUUGGAUGCUGGGCAUUGUUUCUUCAUGGAGGCUCAGGAACCUCACAAGAAAUUUACACACCUCCCCCAUGCCUCAGGUUACACAGUGGUGAACAACUGCUGAGGCUAGAACCUGGACCCCUGACUCCUGUUUCAUUGGGGUUGGACACGAGACCUCUUCCAAUACAUUGUGGAUAUGGCUGUAACCAUUGGACGCUAUUCCCCUCCAAAGCAGACAGCCCUUGCAGUAACCAUUUCAGUCUAGACAUGAAAAUGCAGAGAUGUGGAACGCAGUCAUAGUGGAUACAUCAACAUACAACUUCUGCAUAUGAAGCUCAGGGAUUAAUGAGGUAACGGUGUAGAAAAUUAUAAAAAGAGAACUAAGAAUUUUUCUGUGAGACUGUGUUUCUUAGCAGUAUCAGAAGAUGCAUCAAUCAAUAAAGUCUCACCAGUCACCAUGACUCUCUAAACAUAUGAGAUAAACAAAGACAACAACAGUAAGCACACUAACGCAGACAGGGAAAAAACCCGGAUGUCUCUAACCUAUUCAAAGUACCAGAGUCAGCUAGGAAAUGCUGAGAGUAGGG